UGGAGCUAAUGUGGGUUUGCUCUCACAGAGGCAUCUGCGGAAAGAGUGUGGACAGCACUGAAGAGGGCCGGCCCGAGGGGAGGACGAGAAGGAUGGUGGCUAAUCACAGGCCGUGCCGUGGGUGUUCGUUGGAAAGGCCCAGCUGGCGGAACGACGGGACCACCUCCGACUCGCAGCCACGGGUGCUGACCCCCACGGUCUGGCCGAGGAGCGUCACAUGCUCCCACUCAGUCUCAGAGUGUAACUGAGUUCAGGUGACUCCUCUGCCAAAAUCUGGACUUAAUUAAACUCAGUGAAUUCUAAUUUUGGAACCAUGUUUGUAUCUGUCUUCUGGUCCCUGCUCCAAGGUGGUGCUCCAGGGACAAGAAAGUGUUCUUCGAGACGAGCUCUCCGGUCACAUUGCGGAGCAGCCAGGGUCACCUGCACUGCAGCCAGGGUCACCUGCACUGCGUCCCUGCAGAAAGUCCUUUGAAUGGUGCCACCAGGCGAGGUCACGCUCGGGCAAAAGGACAACGAGGCUAGGGCAGGAUAUUCCACCUCUCCAACACUUGAAACCAGAUUUUAGUCGAAGGAAUUGUUACCUAGCAGGAAAAUCAGGCCCCGGGAAGCAGGGCUCACAGCCCCACUGUGGCAGCCUGACAACUCUCUCUGGGCAGACUCACCACCCAGCACCGUCACCGUCACACCGCCAGCAGCGUCAUCGUCACCGGCACCCUCCCCACCCCGGCACCAUCCCAGUUCAGCACCACAGCAGUUCCUGGGACACAGUUCGAUCCACGAGAGAGGGUAAUGGACUUCACACUUCCCUCCACCGGGUGUGGCCGACAGGUGAGCACAGACCUGGCGGGAAGAGCUCACUCCGAGGUGCCUGGCCGGGGCCACGUGCCUUCUUCUCCUGCUUCAGAAACUGGGAAGAUGCAGCGCAUGGUGAGAGCUAAUGGUGGUGGGUGAGUGCGAGGCCCUUCAAAUUAAAAGCAGCAACUUUAAGAUUUUACACACACACAUGCACAUCCUACUCUGCUAAUCAAGGUUGCCUGUGGUUGACUAGGUGGGCAGCCGGGUCCUGCCAGGACUCCCGUGAAGCCAUCCUGGGAGCAGAUAAGCCGAGAAAGGCGAGUCUUGCCCUUCACCUCCUAUUUAAGCUUUAUUAUGACCAUCAUCGCCGUUAUUAAUGUGGUUCGCUUUCUCAUGUGCAAAGUGCUCUAUUCACACGGGUGCUGUGCACAUCUGUGAA